ACUCCGAUGCCUCAGGCUGCGGCAGCUGCUUCUCGGCCUCCCUCCGUUCAGCGGCGCUGGCCGCCCGGAGAGCCAGCCCACGCUUCCCCCGCCAGAGCUGAGCAUGUGGAGUCAAUGGAGCAAUGGAGUCAAUAUGAGCAUCUCCACUGAAGUCAAUGAAGUUGCACUAGUGUACAUCAAGGCUGAGUUUGGGAUCAUAGAGAAAAUAAGGAAAAGACAGACCCAGCCAUAGGAACUUGGAGAAGGAUUAUGGAAUUCACUGUAAAAUGAGUAAUCUCUAUUGGCCAAGGGAUGGAGAAAGUCCUGACACAUUCAAGAUCUCUGGAUUCUGGGCAAAAGGCCAGACACAUCACAGGGAAGACUUGGGGAAUAUAUUUUCUAUAAAAAUGUUUUUCCAUACAAUACAAUUAUUGGUUUGUAUUUUAGACAUUUAAGAUUUGUAUUGUGGGGCAAGUGCUGAGGAGUAAUAGUAAUGUUAAUGAUCAAGAGAAACCCACUAGAAGAUAGUUUGGUUGAUAAACAGCAAGUUUAAAUCUGUUUUAUGUGGCAUCUAUCUGUCAAAGGUAUUUCUAGAGCACCUAUUAUCACGGUAUCUUAAUCUCUUAAAAGACAGUACAACUUCUGUCCUCUCCCCAGAGAACCCCAAUAUUUGCAGCUUCUACAUACAGUACUUCCCCAGCAGAAGCUCAAUCCUUUCCCUUGAGAGACUUUUCCAGUGCAACAGACCUCACGUUUUCAGUUUCCAUGGCUGCAGAUUCAAUAUGACAGCAUUGCAUUGGUUAAGAUGUCUUCCCAACCAAGAGAGCUAGAUGCUUCUGGAAGUUUUAAAUGGCAACUUUGCUUCUGGGGAAUCCAGAAAAUUCUGUGGAAAGACAAAUCUGCGCUUUCCACAGAUCUGAAUUGUCCUUAUUUACCUUGAUGACUAGGGGCUGCUUUCCCACUCUGACAGAAUGAUAUGCCAGGCUACUGUUUUUUCCUACUACUUGUGGAGCUAUGCUUCCCAUGUGCACUCUUAUUUCCCAACUUCCUCUCUCACUCAUCCUUGUUUAUUGACCAGGAAGUACCUGAUAUUACAAUACUUUUCCUUGUGUACCUUUUCAUUAAACAUCUAUGUUACACUAUUUAUGAUAUAAUACAGCACAUGCCAUUUGCUUUUCAAUAAAUAGCACAUUUAAGAAAUAACAAUAAGAAACAUUUAAGAUGAAAAUGUGUGCCUGGAAAAUCCUUAUUAUUCUGUUAGGAUGAUGAUCCAUAGUACACAAGUUACAGCUUUUUCUCCCCGCUCAGGGAUGUUUUUAUUCAAGAGAGGUGAACUAUCCUGAAAUAGUGGAAGGGUGGUAGUCACAGAACUUGAAUGCAGCAGCAUCUGAACAAAGUUUUGAUUUACUUUGUUUUUGUUUCUUAAUAGUUAAUGUUACUGAGUAUGUUCAAACUGGGCUAAACAACAGCAGAAGAAUCUCAUUUGGUCUUGUAAUUAGAGCUGGACGGAGAACAAUUCCAUUUUGCAACAACUUUUGAGGUUUUGAAAUUUGUUUUCAUUCUCCAUUGGAACAAAAUCAACACCUUUCAAAUGUUUCUGCAAAAUGGAAUUGUGUCAAAAUGACCAUCAUCAGAUUAAAAAGGUCAGGUUUUUUAUUCAGGUGUCUCUCCAGUCACCAGUGACAAGAGAGCCCCAGAUCUCAGAAACCUAUCAAUUAAAAUGUUGUCAAAAAUGUUACAUCUCUGUGAAAUGUAUCAGCUUUGUUAAUACAACAUAUUCCGACAAAGUACCUUUAGUCAAAAAUGUUCCAACCUGCUCUAAUUGUAAUUAGUAUUGGGAUUAAUUUUAGGCACAUUGGAAAUUUACAAGACUUUCAUUCUACAGCACAUUUUUUAAGUUUUGAGGUCUUUCAGUCAUGUGUAAUUCAGUAUUCCUGGUUUCACUUUCAAACUGUUUACUAAUAAAAACCUACCCCCCAAAAGAAGCUUUUAUUAAUAAAUGUGUGUUAAAACAAAACAAAAUGGAAACUAUUUUAACACUCAACCCACUCCCUGCAUUUCUGUCAUCAUUUCUUGUCAAUUUCAUAGUUGAAGGACUUGGUGAGAGGCUAACCCAUGCCAAAAAGUUGCCAGAUUAGGCCUAAACAAUUUGAUUGCACAACAGGAUAUUUAUUUUAAAAACUUUCCAAUAUUUUUCUGUUAAAAAUAUUCAA